CAAGGAAAGCUAUAAAAUUGCAUCAGCAAAUCAGGAUUAGCUCCGUAAAACUAGAAAAUCAAAUCAGCAGUAUCAAUAAAUAACGGAGCGGGAAUAAUCAAGGUACAAGGAGAUCAGUGAUUAGCGAAAUCACGGGAGAAUAAAAGAUGCCAGAAGAUCUGCGCAGUGACCGUGUUUGGAAGGUCCAACAAUCAAGGAGAAGUCUCAUUAAAUCAAUUGGCUACCGAAGGAAAAGAUAUCAAUAGAUGCAACGACACUCUCUUUAUUCUUGGAAAGAAUAAAUUCUUU
rnacentral:lncRNA from 1 species